UGGAUCCCCAGAUCGAAGGCAGACUGAAAACCAGGGUCACCCAGAUGAGCUCAUAUAAGGAAACCCAAUGCAAUCAUUAACAAGAAUGGAUGAGAGGUAAAGCACUUGACUUGGACUGAUUUCCACGAAGAAAUGCCAUUCUGACAGGUAUGAGGGGAUAUCUCACUGUGGUUCUGAUUUGCAUUUCCCU